UACGUAGGGGGCAAGCGUUGUCCGGAAUCAUUGGGCGUAAAGAGCGCGUAGGCGGUCCGAUAAGUCCGCUCUGAAAGCCCGGGGCUCAACCCCGGGAGGCGGGCGGAUACUGUCGGGCUAGAGUCCGGAAGAGGCAAGUGGAAUUCCUGGUGUAGCGGUGAAAUGCGCAGAUAUCAGGAGGAACACCGAUGGCGAAGGCAGCUUGCUGGGACGGUACUGACGCUGAGACGCGAAAGCGUGGGGAGCGAACAGG
rnacentral:rRNA from 1 species